rnacentral:rRNA from 1 species
UACGUAGGGGGCAAGCGUUGUCCGGAUUUAUUGGGCGUAAAGAGCGUGUAGGCGGUUUGGUAGGUCCGCUGUGAAAACUCGAGGCUCAACCUCGAGACGCCGGUGGAAACCAUCAGACUAGAGUCCGGAAGAGGAGAGUGGAAUUCCUGGUGUAGCGGUGAAAUGCGCAGAUAUCAGGAGGAACACCCGGUGGCGAAGGCGGGUCUCUGGGGCCGAUACUGACGCUGGAGGAGCGAAAGCGUGGGGAGCGAACAGG